rnacentral:rRNA from 1 species
CUACGGGUCGCAGCAGUGAGGAAUAUUGCACAAUGGGGGAAACCCUGAUGCAGCAACGCCGCGUGGAGGAUGACGCAUUUCGGUGUGUAAACUCCUUUUAUAUGUCAAGAAAAUGACGGUAGCAUAUGAAUAAGCACCGGCUAACUCCGUGCCAGCAGCCGCGGUAAUACGGAGGGUGCAAGCGUUACUCGGAAUCACUGGGCGUAAAGGACGCGUAGGCGGGUUGUCAAGUCAGGUGUGAAAUCCUACAGCUUAACUGUAGAACUGCACUUGAAACUGGCAACCUAGAGUAUGGGAGGGGUAGAUGGAAUUAGUAGUGUAGGGGUAAAAUCCGUAGAUAUUACUAGGAAUAUCAAAAGCGAAGGCGAUCUCCUGGAACAUUACUGACGCUAAGGCGUGAAAGCGUGGGGAGCAAACAGGAUUAGAUACCCUAGUAGUC